rnacentral:rRNA from 1 species
UACGUGGGGGGCAAGCGUUGUUCGGAAUUACUGGGCGUAAAGGGCUCGUAGGCGGCCAACUAAGUCAGACGUGAAAUCCCCAGGCUUAACCUGGGAACUGCGUCUGAUACUGGAUGGCUGGAGUGUGGGAGAGGGAUGCGGAAUUCCAGGUGUAGCGGUGAAAUGCGUAGAUAUCUGGAGGAACACCGGUGGCGAAGGCGGCAUCCUGGACCAUUACUGACACUGAAAAGCGAAAGCCAGGGGAGCAAACGGG